rfam:Stegodyphus mimosarum contig51190, whole genome shotgun sequence.
GCCUUCGUGUAGUGGUCAGCCCGCUCGACGUGUAACCGAGAUGUCCGUGGUUCGAUUCCCGGCGAAGGCG